AACGCACAUUGCGCCCUCUGGUAUUCCGGGGGGCAUGCCUGUUCGAGCGUCAUUACACCACUCAAGCCUCGCUUGGUAUUGGGCGCCGCGCCUGCCGCGCGCCUUAAUGUCUCCGGCUGAGCUCAUCGUCUCUUAGCGUUGUGGCAAACAAUGUUCGCUUAUGAGAUUGAGGGGUUCGCGCCGUCAAACAUCUUCUAAAGGUUGACCUCGGAUCAGGUAGGGAUACCCGCUGAACUUAA
rnacentral:misc_RNA from 1 species